GAUGAACGCUAGCGGCAGGCCUAAUACAUGCAAGUCGAACGCUCAGUAGCAAUACUGGGAGUGGCGCACGGGUGCGUAACGCGUACACAAUCUACCUUUAAGCGGGGGACACCUCCUGGAAACGGGGAUUAAUACCGCAUAAUAUGCCGAGGUCGCAUGACUUGGUAUUAAAGCAGCAAUGCACUUAGAGAUGAGUGUGCGUCCCAUUAGGUAGUUGGUGAGGUAACGGCUCACCAAGCCUAUGAUGGGUAGCCGGUCUGAGAGGAUGGUCGGCCACACGGGCACUGAGACACGGGCCCGACUCCUACGGGAGGCAGCAGUAAGGAAUAUUGGUCAAUGGUGGAAACAACUGAACCAAGCCAUGCCGCGUGGAGGAAGUAAGGUACCGUAC
rnacentral:rRNA from 1 species